UACGUAGGGUGCAAGCGUUGUCCGGAAUCAUUGGGCGUAAAGCGCGCGUAGGCGGCCUCGUAAGUCCGUUGUGAAAGUCAAAGGCUCAACCUUUGAAAGCCGAUGGAUACUGUGAGGCUAGAGUCCGGAAGAGGCGAGUGGAAUUCCUGGUGUAGCGGUGGAAUGCGCAGAUAUCAGGAAGAACACCCGUGGCGAAGGCGGCUCUCUGGAACGCAACUGACGCUGAGACGCGAAAGCGUGGGGAGCAAACAGG
rnacentral:rRNA from 1 species